UACGUAGGUGGCAAGCGUUGUCCGGAUUUAUUGGGUUUAAAGGGUGCGUAGGCGGCCUAUUAAGUCAGUUCUGAAAUAUCCCGGCUUAACCGGGAGGGUGGGAUUGAUACUGAUGGGCUUGAGUGGAUUCGAGGUAGGCGGAAUUGACGGUGUAGCGGUGAAAUGCUUAGAUAUCGUCAAGAACACCGAUAGUGUAGACAGCUUACUAGACUUCAACUGACGCUGAGGCACGAAAGUGUGGGGAUCAAACAGG
rnacentral:rRNA from 1 species